UACGAAGGGGGCUAGCGUUGUUCGGAAUUACUGGGCGUAAAGCGUGCGCAGGCGGCUUCUCAAGUCAGGGGUGAAAGCCCAGAGCUCAACUCUGGAAUUGCCUUUGAGACUGAGUGGCUUGAGUACGAGAGAGGUGAGUGGAAUUCCCAGUGUUGAGGUGAAAUUCGUAGAUAUUGGGAAGAACACCGGUGGCGAAGGCGGCUCACUGGCUCGUAACUGACGCUCAUGCACGACAGCGUGGGGAUCAAACAGG
rnacentral:rRNA from 1 species